GUGAAUCAUCGAAUUUUUGAACGCAACUUGCACUCCCUGGUAACCCGGGGAGUAUGCCUGUUUGAGGUUCAGUGUUAAUAAAAAUCGGUGCGUCGCCAUUUUUGUGGUGUUCCGGAGUUUGAGUUGUCUUAACUUGCUUCUGCGUUUUUCAAUGGCUUACUAUUGAUCUUUUUUCCGCAUUUUAGACGUA
rnacentral:misc_RNA from 1 species